rnacentral:rRNA from 1 species
AGCGAACGCUGGCGGCAGGCCUAACACAUGCAAGUCGAACGAACCUUUCGGGGUUAGUGGCGGACGGGUGAGUAACACGUGGGAACGUGCCUUUAGGUUCGGAAUAACUCAGGGAAACGUGUGCUAAUACCGAAUGUGCCCUUCGGGGGAAAGAUUUAUCGCCUUUAGAGCGGCCCGCGUCUGAUUAGCUAGUUGGUUGAGGUAAUGGCUCACCAAGGCGACGAUCAGUAGCUGGUCUGAGAGGCUGAUCAGCCACAUUGGGACUGAGACACGGCCCAAACUCCUACGGGAGGCAGCAGUGGGGAAUCUUGCGCCAUGGGCGAAAGCCUGACGCAGCCAUGCCGCAUGAAUGAUGAAGGUCUUAGGAUUGUAAAAUUCUUUCACCGGGGACGAUAAUGACGGUACCCGGAGAAGAAGCCCCGGCUAACUUCGUG